CUACGGGAGGCAGCAGUGGGGAAUAUUGCACAAUGGGCGCAAGCCUGAUGCAGCAACGCCGCGUGAGUGAAGAAGGNUUUCGGGUCGUAAAAUCUGUCCUAUGGGAAGAAAAAAAUGACGGUACCAUAGGAGGAAGCCCCGGCUAACUACGUGCCAGCAGCCGCG
rnacentral:rRNA from 1 species